rnacentral:misc_RNA from 1 species
GAUGAAGAACGUAGCGAAAUGCGAUAAGUAAUGUGAAUUGCAGAAUUCAGUGAAUCAUCGAAUCUUUGAACGCACAUUGCGCCCCCUGGUAUUCCGGGGGGCAUGCCUGUCCGAGCGUCAUUACAACCCUCAAGCUCAGCUUGGUGUUGGGCCCCGCCGCCCCGGCGGGCCCUAAAGUCAGUGGCGGUGCCGUCCGGCUCCGAGCGUAGUAACUCACCUCGCACUGGACCGGGCGGCGGCCUGCCGUAAAACCCCAACUCACGAAAUGUUGACCUCGGAUCAGGUAGGAAUACCCGCUGAACUUAAGCAUAUCAAUAAGCGGAGGA